rnacentral:rRNA from 1 species
AUACGGAGGAUGCAGCCGUUAUCCCGAUUCACCUAGGUUUAAAGGGCGCGUAGACGGAAUAAUAAGUCAGUGGUGAAAUCUUGCGGCUCAACCGUAAAAUUGCCAUUGAUACUGUUAUUCUUGAGUAUGGUUGAGGUAGGCGGAAUGAGUAAUGUAGCGGUGAAAUGCUUAGAUAUUACUCAGAACACCGAUUGCGUAGGCAGCUUACCAAGCCAUCACUGACGCUGAGGCACGAAAGCGUGGGUAGCAAACAGGAUUAGAUACCCUGGUAGUCCACGCCGUAAACGUUGAUUACUCGUUGUUGGCAAUACACCGUCAGCGACUGAGCAAAAGCAUUAAGUAAUCCACCUGGGGAGUACGUCAGCAAUGAUGAAACUCAAAGGAAUUGACGGGGGCCCGCACAAGCGGAGGAACAUGUGGUUUAAUUCGAUGAUACGCGAGGAACCUUACCUGGGCUUAAAUGUUUAGUGAUCGACCGGGAGACCGGUUUUUCCUUCGGGACACUUUACAAGGUGCUGCAUGGUUGUCGUCAGCUCGUGCCGUGAGGUGUCGGGUUAAGUCCCAUAACGAGCGCAACCCCUAUCGCCAGUUGCCAGCACAUAAUGGUGGGAACUCUGGUGAAACUGCCGGUGCAAACCGUGAGGAAGGUGGGGAUGACGUCAAAUCAGCACGGCCCUUAUGUCCAGGGCUACACACGUGUUACAAUGGUCGGUACAACAGGAUGCCAAUCCGCAAGGAUGAGCUAAUCCCAAAAGCCGAUCUUAGUUCGGAUCGGAGUCUGCAAUUCGACUCCGUGAA